GGGCCGUUAGCUCAGUGGUAGAGCGCACCCCUGAUAAGGGUGAGGUCCCUGGUUCAAUCCCAGGGCGGCCCA
rnacentral:tRNA from 2 species